GCGCCCUUGGUGUAGUGGUAACACGCAAUCUACUUCUGGGUAAAACAGUUUCAAGUUUAGGAUUGGGUCCGGGGUUCGACUCCCCGAGGGUGCA